ACAACACUCAGAGAUGGGUCAGUGUACAGCAGUAUGGAACGACGGGCAAACUUUGCCCGGACAUACUGCAAGCCGCAGUGAACGGCACCGUCUUGUGUUUUAUUAAAAGCCCUGCUGAAAAAACAUGUAAACUAUAACAGCCACGGAAACACAUUGGACUGUGUUAAUACUAUCAAGAAGGGAACCAUGAAGAGGGCAAGGGAGAGGCUGAAAGCAGCAGAGAAGACCUGAUUCAUCAAGUAUCAAUUAAUUCUGGUGAUUCUCACUUGGUUGGCAUGCACAACAUGACAAGACACUUCAAUCUGACACUCUUAAUGUUUGACGUCAGGCCAAAUGUCUUCAGCCACUGUAGGAUGGAGAGCUGCUGGUUGGCAUUUUUGACUGCAGUGUCUGUGUGGGUGUACCAGAAAAGGACGUUAGAAGUUAGGUCCCCAUGAUAUCGAAGCUUCUUACCAUAUCCACUGCAGCCCAGUCGAUAACGAUUUUAAAAACUGGAACAAUAGAUAUCGUGCAGCACAUAGUAGCAAACAUUUCACUGGACCAACUCCAGUUUGCCUUUUGUCCCAACAAAUGUCAAUUAUACAUUUUUACAAACAUCAGAGUGCAUUUUCUUUUAUAGCUCUGCUUUCAACGCCAUCCUGACCCACAAACUGGUUAGCCGACUCUGGGUGUAAAUCCUGUAAUAACAAAUUACAUUUUUUACAUUAUCACAAGAAUAUGUAUCCCCAGAAUGGACCCGACACUACCAUGGUACACCUGAUCACCAGUGAUCAUGAGUACAUGAAGGAGCUCUGGGCCCUGACAUAAUGGUGAUAGGACAACAGUCUUAGCGUAAGCAAAACAAAGUAGAUGGUGAUACUUGACCGUUCUCCCAUCUAGUGUACAUUGACAUGGAGAUGAUCAGCUGCUUCAUGUUCCUGGGCACCCUGAUAUCCUUUUCUGCCCUCAGUCACUUCACUCAAACAGUGCCACUUGUGCUUCUCCACUACCCUCAAACUUGCUGCACCACGACCUAUGUACCAACUACGGUGUCUGUUUUUACUGCCAUAACAUGUCAAUGAAAUGUCCAUAUUUACUGUAAGUUUUAUUUAUGGUGACAUUGCACAUAUUGUAACAUAGUCCCUUGACAUACAUGACUUAAAACCUGUUGGGGAUGGGGGCGCUGUUUAGACUAUUUAUGCUAAUUGGGUAAUUUUUGAAACGGCUUCCCACAAAAUCCUUGAUCGUACAAUAUGCAUAUUAUUAUUAUUAUUGGAUAGAAAACAGUCUAUAGUUUCUAUAGGAGUUGAAAUUUUGUCUCUAAGUGGAACAGA